rnacentral:sRNA from 1 species
CAACGCAAUUGCCGAAGACAGCAGGUGCCAGAAGGCAUAAACGAAUGUGCCUGCCGAGGGAAUUUACGAAAAUAUCCGAAAGGGAUAUUUAUGUAAAGAAUUCAAACCUCUCUGUCAUAAGGCAGAGAGGUUUUUGUCUU